rnacentral:lncRNA from 1 species
GCACUUUAUCUCUGAGACACUUAACUACAUGCUUACCUUAAAUGCAAAGCAGGUGUGUAAGUGCUUUGCUGGAUCAGGGCCAGCUCUGUACAAACCUGACCUCAGAGAGUUAGGAUCCCCUGCUCCUCCUGGUGUGAAGAUGACCUUGCUUACAUCAGAGUCAUGUGGUUGCACUUCAGAAACAGACAGCAUUCAGUUGAAAGGGAAGUUGAAUAUGCCUGAUUCAGGGCUGGCACUGGAAGAAGGUGUUCUUUGGCUUUUCCAAGAUCACCAAAAAGCAAUCUUAAUACUUGUAGUAGUGGCAGAUUGCUUGCACUUCACAGCUGAGCAUCCUGCAGCUGGGGGCACAGAACAGCUGAACAGUCACUGGAGUGAGACAGGACAUCUAAAGAGCAGGCCUAACUCAUUCAGGAGUAAGUCCAGAGGACUAGAAAUUCUUCCUCAUAACCCUUACCAAGGGAAGUUAAGUUUCAAAGAAAAGAAUGGUAUAGCUGCUAAAUGAAACAUUCAGCACAUUAGAAGCAAUGCAAUUUUAAUAUUGUAAACAGUCAGCUCCUAAAAGGUAACUUCCAUUACAAAACUGACUGAGAAAUGAAAAAAAAAUCUUAAAAUAGUCUAUGUACUACAUCAGUCCCUUUCAAAACUUUGCAUAGUUCAUUCAGAUACUGUAAAGAUAGAGAGUAAUAUAGGAGAAUUUUACAGACUGUCC